rnacentral:rRNA from 1 species
CCCGUCACACCAUGGGAGUGGGCUGCUACAGAAGUCGGUGCGUCAACCGCAAGGAGACAGCCGGCCUAAGAAGUGGCUCAUGACUGGGGUG